GCGAAAGUGGCGGAAUUGGUAGACGCACUGGAUUUAGGUUCCAGCGCCGCAAGGCGUGCAGGUUCGAGUCCUGUCUUUCGCACCA
rnacentral:tRNA from 1 species